GGCUGGAUAGCUCAGUGGUUAAGAGCAACCAGUAUAUGUCUGGGAGGUCCUGGGUUCAAACCCCAGUCUGGCCA